GCGGUCGUGGCGGAACUGGCAGACGCGCUAGAUUCAGGUUCUAGUGAGUGUACGCUCAUGGAGGUUCAAGUCCUCUCGACCGCACCA
rnacentral:tRNA from 1 species